AUCCCGCUGACGAGACCCAGAUAGGACGAAACUCGUGUCAAACCGGAU
rnacentral:hammerhead_ribozyme from 1 species